UCUGUUUUCAGGGUGAUGUCAAGAUGU
rnacentral:piRNA from 1 species